rnacentral:rRNA from 1 species
AACGAACGCUGGCGGCGUGGAUAAGACAUGCAAGUCGAACGAGAGAAUUGCUAGCUUGCUAAUAAUUCUCUAGUGGCGCACGGGUGAGUAACACGUGAGUAACCUGCCCCCGAGAGCGGGAUAGCCCUGGGAAACUGGGAUUAAUACCGCAUAGUAUCGAAAGAUUAAAGCAGCAAUGCGCUUGGGGAUGGGCUCGCGGCCUAUUAGUUAGUUGGUGAGGUAACGGCUCACCAAGGCGAUGACGGGUAGCCGGUCUGAGAGGAUGUCCGGCCACACUGGAACUGAGACACGGUCCAGACACCUACGGGUGGCAGCAGUCGAGAAUCAUUCACAAUGGGGGAAACCCUGAUGGUGUGACGCCGCGUGGGGGAAUGAAGGUCUUCGGAUUGUAAACCCCUGUCAUGUGGGAGCAAAUUAAAAAGAUAGUACCACAAGAGGAAGAGACGGCUAACUCUGUGCCGGCAGCCGCGGUAAUACAGAGGUCUCAAGCGUUGUUCGGAAUCACUGGGCGUAAAGCGUGCGUAGGCUGUUUCGUAAGUCGUGUGUGAAAGGCGCGGGCUCAACCCGCGGACGGCACAUGAUACUGCGAGACUAGAGUAAUGGAGGGGGAACCGGAAUUCUCGGUGUAGCAGUGAAAUGCGUAGAUAUCGAGAGGAACACUCGUGGCGAAGGCGGGUUCCUGGACAUUAACUGACGCUGAGGCACGAAGGCCAGGGGAGCGAAAGGGAUUAGAUACCCCUGUAGUCCUGGCAGUAAACGGUGCACGCUUGGUGUGCGGGGAAUCGACCCCCUGCGUGCCGGAGCUAACGCGUUAAGCGUGCCGCCUGGGGAGUACGGUCGCAAGAUUAAAACUCAAAGAAAUUGACGGGGACCCGCACAAGCGGUGGAGUAUGUGGCUUAAUUCGAUGCAACGCGAAGAACCUUACCUGGGCUUGACAUGUAAUGAACAACAUGUGAAAGCAUGCGACUCUUCGGAGGCGUUACACAGGUGCUGCAUGGCCGUCGUCAGCUCGUGUCGUGAGAUGUUUGGUUAAGUCCAGCAACGAGCGCAACCCCUGUUGCCAGUUACCAGCACGUGAAGGUGGGGACUCUGGCGAGACUGCCCAGAUCAACUGGGAGGAAGGUGGGGACGACGUCAGGUCAGUAUGGCCCUUAUGCCCAGGGCUGCACACGUACUACAAUGCCCAGUACAGAGGGGGCCGAAGCCGCGAGGCGGAGGAAAUCCUGAAAACUGGGCCCAGUUCGGACUGUAGGCUGCAAACCCGCCUACACGAAAGCCGGAAUCGCUAGUAAUGGCGCCUCAGCUACGGCGCCGUAAAUACGCUCCCGGGUCU